UCCAUGGGUGACGUGGAAUCUGAAGGAAGUUGGUGGCAAAGCUCUGGUCUGACGAACAGAAACUACAUAUAAGGCAUAUUGUAGAUUUGUAAUUUAAAAUCUCUUCAAAAAUAAAGUUUAUUUCAAAUUUAUUUAACCGAUAAAAAGAAAAAUGGAUAAAAGA
rfam:Clostridium pasteurianum BC1, complete genome.